AGGACGAACGCUGGCGGCGUGCUUAACACAUGCAAGUCGAGCGGAAAGGCCUUUCGGGGUACUCGAGCGGCGAACGGGUGAGUAACACGUGAGUAAUCUGCCCAUCGCUUCAGGAUAGCCAUCGGAAACGGUGAUUAAUACUGGAUAUGACAUUCCUUCGCAUGUUGGGGUGUGGUAAAGUUUUUCGGCGGUGGAUGUGCUCUCGGCCUAUCAGCUUGUUGGUGGGGUAAUGGCCUACCAAGGCUUUGACGGGUAGCCGGCCUGAGAGGGUGACCGGCCACGACUGGGACUGAGACACGGCCCAGACUCCUACGGGAGGCAGCGAGUGGGGAAUAUUGGGACAAUGGGGCGGAAGCCUGAUCCAGCAACGCCGCGUGAGGAUGAC
rnacentral:rRNA from 1 species